UACGGGGGGGGCAAGCGUUGUUCGGAAUUACUGGGCGUAAAGGGCUCGUAGGCGGCCAACUAAGUCAGACGUGAAAUCCCUCGGCUUAACCGGGGAACUGCGUCUGAUACUGGAUGGCUUGAGUUUGGGAGAGGGAUGCGGAAUUCCAGGUGUAGCGGUGAAAUGCGUAGAUAUCAGGAGGAACACCUAUUGCGAAGGCAGCUCGCUGGGACGUAACUGACGCUGAGACGCGAAAGCGUGGGGAGCAAACAGG
rnacentral:rRNA from 1 species